rnacentral:rRNA from 1 species
UACGUAGGGUGCAAGCGUUGUCCGGAAUUAUUGGGCGUAAAGAGCUCGUAGGCGGUUUGUUGCGUCGGCUGUGAAAUCCCGAGGCUCAACCUCGGGUCUGCAGUCGAUACGAGCAAACUAGAGUGUUGCAGGGGAGACUGGAAUUCCUGGUGUAGCGGUGAAAUGCGCAGAUAUCAGGAGGAACACCGGUGGCGAAGGCGGGUCUCUGGGCAACAACUGACGCUGAGGAGCGAAAGUGUGGGGAGCGAAGAGG